GAAAACUGUUGCUCAGAGAGAGUUACUCGUCACCAAGACAGAAUGGUUCAUUCCUGGUUCUGUGUUCUACUCUUACUGAAUACCCUCAUCUACUGUGGUCACUCUCAAGAUCUGCCCAGGGCCUCAGUGAAGAUAGUCUCUCCCCAGGAGCCACUGUACACAGGAGACAGAGUCACUCUACAGUGUUACAUACCAGAAUACACAGACUGGACUUAUGUCUGGUACAGAGACAACCAACACCUUCCCAGUCAGACCAGUAAAACCACCACCAUCUCUC